rnacentral:rRNA from 1 species
AUUGAACGCUGGCGGCAUGCUUUACACAUGCAAGUCGAACGGUAACAGGGAGCUUGCUCCGCUGACGAGUGGCGAACGGGUGAGUAAUGCGUCGGAACGUGCCGAGUAGUGGGGGAUAACGCAUCGAAAGGUGUGCUAAUACCGCAUACGUACUGAGGUAGAAAGUGGGGGACCUUCGGGCCUCACGCUAUUCGAGCGGCCGACGUCUGAUUAGCUAGUUGGUGAGGUAAAGGCUCACCAAGGCGACGAUCAGAAGCGGGUCUGAGAGGAUGAUCGGCCACACUGGGACUGAGACACGGCCCAGACUCCUACGGGAGGCAGCAGUGGGGAAUUUUGGACAAUGGGCGCAAGCCUGAUCCAGCCAUGCCGCGUGUCUGAAGAAGGCCUUCGGGUUGUAAAGGACUUUUGUCCGGGAGCAAAUGCCUGGUGUUAAUAGCACUGGGAGCUGAGAGUACCGGAAGAAUAAGCACCGGCUAACUACGUGCCAGCCGCCGCCGUAAUAC